CAUAAUACAUAAUUUGAAAAUAGCACGUUGGUGCUACUUAAAAGAGGCCAUGUCCAACAAUGGGUGCAUAUUGGUUGAAGA